rnacentral:lncRNA from 1 species
CUCUGCCAACACCUUGAUCUCAGAUUUCUAGCCUCCAAAGGUUAUACCAUGCAGUUUCUCAAAACUAUUUCAAGGACAUGUUGGAAGGAACUGGAGGUUGCAGUUGACUCUGUUGUAGCCUUGCCAGCAUACGUUUUCUGGACUGAAAGCACCUGUCUCUCACUUUCUGUGAGUGUUAGUGGGAACAGUUGCAGUUAUAUUCUUUUUAGAAUUGACCUAAAUAAAAGGGAGACAUUU